rnacentral:lncRNA from 1 species
UUGUCGUUCAGUUGUAGUUUUAAAAUUUGUUGUGCAUACAUACUUGUAAUAAUCCGUUCAGUAAUCUGGUUCCAAAGUUUGUCGAUUUCAGAUGUUCAGCAGCAGAAAUUGAGCAGUCCGGGUAGCACAAUCGAGUAGAGAGCGAUCAUGAAGGCAAGCAUCCAAAGUAAAUUGGCACUCGAGGAGACUCGCCAAGCUGUCAAGAGAAAGGGAGGAAGAACAAGGAAGAAAGCUGAAAAAGAAGGUCAAAAGUGAUCCAGUGUUUGAAAGAGUUGCAAGUCUGAGAAGGUGAUUGCUGACUCCUGGAAAUGUUCCGUUUUUACACAAAGUGACGAAUGCACCUAGUUUACGCGCAUGAUCUGCACACUCUGAUAAGAUGUAAUCAAGGAGUUAACUACUAACUUGCAAGGACCUCCUGCACCCGGUCCUGGCGCUGCUGCCGUUGCUGCUGCUGCUGCUGCUGCUGCUGUUGCUGCUGUUGCUGCUGUUGCUGCUGUUGCUGCUGUUGCUGCUGUUGCUGUUGCUGCAGUUGCUGUUGAGACACAACUACAUUCAAAUUUCUCACGUUUACCUCACGAAUUGACGACCAGAGAGCGCUGCUGGGAAUUACCGUUCUCGUAUCUCUGACACGAGGCUUGGCCGCGCUCAUUCCCAGACGGUCUCCAUCUAAGUGCUAACUACGCUCGACGCUGCUUAACCUUGGUGAUCGUCUAAGAGACAGAGCCACUACUCCAUCUGCGCAUGCGAUCAAAAUAGACGUAUUUUCGCCAUUUCAGGGCCACUAGAAUCAUUUUGACAGAAAGUGAUGGUUUUGUGUUGAAUUGAAUCUACACUUAAUUUUUGCAUUUUAUUUUUAAUCACUUAAAAUGUACGUGAAGUUUCACAAAUUAUGUUUCCUGAAAGAUGAGACUAAGAAACACAAAAUGCAAAACCAAAAAUUGUAAUUAAAGAUGUAAAAAAAAGAUGAAAUGAUGAAAAAUUAGCAAUCAACUUAUAAGAAAUUGAAAAUAAUCAUGAAA